UAAGGAAUAUUGGACAAUGGGCGGAAGCCUGAUCCAGCCAUCCCGCGUGCAGGAUGAAGGCCCUCCGGGUCGUAAACUGCUUUAGACUGGGAAGAAACCACUUUUCGUGAGAAGUGUUGACGGUACCAGUAGAAUAAGCACCGGCUAACUCCGUGCCAGCAGCCGCGGUAAUACGGAGGGUGCAAGCGUUAUCCGGAAUCACUGGGUUUAAAGGGUGCGUAGGCGGCUUGGUAAGUCAGGGGUGAAAGCU
rnacentral:rRNA from 1 species